UACAGAGGGUGCGAGCGUUAAUCGGAAUUACUGGGCGUAAAGCGUGCGUAGACGGUUAUUUAAGUCGGGUGUGAAAGCCCCGGGCUCAACCUGGGAAUUGCAUUCGAGACUGAAUAGCUAGGGUACGGUAGAGGGAAGUGGAAUUUCCGGUGUAGCGGUGAAAUGCGCAGAUAUCAGGAGGAACACCGAUGGCGAAGGCAGGUCUCUGGGCCGAUACUGACGCUGAGGAGCGAAAGCGUGGGGAGCGAACAGG
rnacentral:rRNA from 1 species